GAUAUUGGCCUCUCCCCCACCCCCUGUGGCGUCCACCCCUCUGCCCCAAAGACCAUCUAAGUCCAGAACCUUUAAAUAUACCAUAGAAAUUCAGAAAACACAACCUUCUUUACCAGUUUUAGAACUCUCACCCGUACUUCCCAUCACCUCUAGUACACAUGCCCAUUACCCAUCAUUUUCUUUGAUUUGUCCACAGCAAUCAAUUGAAGCUAACGCACCUCCAUCUACAGCCAUAGGCUCUGAUGGCACCAAAAUAAAAAACUCUGCUGCUGUACGGGAGGUUGGGGUUCAGGUCCAUGUCCAACCCCAGAUCCUACUGGUGGGGUGGCUGGGACAGUAGAGCAUUCGACUUCUCUUGAUCCGAUCACCUCUGAAAAAGAAAAAAAUAUCCCCAACAUACCACCAAAGGAGGGCACUCCUAACAUGAUGAGUGGGACUCCAAAGGCCAACAUGGCCACUCAGAGAGACCAGUCUGAGCCCUCCUU